rnacentral:rRNA from 1 species
GUUGUAUGGUUAAGUGACUAAGCGUACAUGGUGGAUGCCUUGGCAGUCAGAGGCGAUGAAGGACGUACUAACCUGCGAUAAGCCGUGAGCAGUCGGUAAGAGACAUUACGACUCACGGAUUUCCGAAUGGGGAAACCCACUUAGCAUAAGCUAGGUAUCGCUACGUGAAUACAUAGCGUAGCGAGGCGAACCGGGAGAACUGAAACAUCUAAGUACCCCGAGGAAAAGAAAUCAACCGAGAUUCCCUCAGUAGCGGCGAGCGAACGGGGAUUAGCCCUUAAGCAUCUUGGAAGUUAGUGGAACGGUCCUGGAAAGGCCGGCGAUACAGGGUGAUAGCCCCGUACACGAAAACAACCUUGAUGUGAAAUCGAGUAGGGCGGGACACGUGACAUCCUGUCUGAAUAUGGGGGGACCAUCCUCCAAGGCUAAAUACUCCUGACUGACCGAUAGUGAACCAGUACCGUGAGGGAAAGGCGAAAAGAACCCCUGUGAGGGGAGUGAAAUAGAACCUGAAACCGUGUACGUACAAGCAGUGGGAGCCCUUCGGGGUGACUGCGUACCUUUUGUAUAAUGGGUCAGCGACUUACAUUUUGUAGCGAGGUUAACCGUAUAGGGGAGCCGUAGGGAAACCGAGUCUUAACUGGGCGUCUAGUUGCAAGGUGUAGACCCGAAACCGGGUGAUCUAGCCAUGGGCAGGUUGAAGGUUGAGUAACAUCAACUGGAGGACCGAACCCACUAACGUUGCAAAGUUAGGGGAUGACCUGUGGCUGGGGGUGAAAGGCCAAUCAAACUCGGAGAUAGCUGGUUCUCCCCGAAAGCUAUUUAGGUAGCGCCUCGGACGAAUACUACUGGGGUAGAGCACUGUUUGGGCUAGGGGGUCAUCCCGACUUACCAACCCCAUGCAAACUCCGAAUACCAGUAAGUAAUAUCCGGGAGACACACGGCGGGUGCUAACGUCCGUCGUGAAGAGGGAAACAACCCAGACCGCCGGCUAAGGUCCCAAAGUUCUGGUUAAGUGGGAAACGAUGUGGGAAGGCUCAGACAGCUAGGAUGUUGGCUUAGAAGCAGCCAUCAUUUAAAGAAAGCGUAAUAGCUCACUAGUCGAGUCGGCCUGCGCGGAAGAUGUAACGGGGCUCAAACCAGGCACCGAAGCCGCGGAUUCACACUAAGUGUGAGUGGUAGGGGAGCGUUCUGUAAGUCUGCGAAGGUGUGUCGAGAGGCAUGCUGGAGAUAUCAGAAGUGCGAAUGCUGACGUAAGUAACGAUAAAGGGGGUGAAAAGCCUCCUCGCCGGAAGACCAAGGGUUCCUGUCCAACGUUAAUCGGGGCAGGGUGAGUCGACCCCUAAGGCGAGGCCGAAAGGCGUAGUCGAUGGGAAGCAGGUUAAUAUUCCUGCACGACUUGUAAUUGCGAUGGGGGACGGAGAAGGCUAGGUGGGCCAGGCGACGGUUGUCCUGGUGAAAGUGCGUAGGUGGUGUUUCUAGGCAAAUCCGGAGACACAACACUGAGACACGAGACGAACACACUACGGUGUGGAAGCCAUUGAUGCCCUGCUUCCAGGAAAAGCCUCUAAGCUUCAGAUUACAAGUCAUCGUACCCCAAACCGACACAGGUGGUCGGGUAGAGAAUACCAAGGCGCUUGAGAGAACUCGGGUGAAGGAACUAGGCAAAAUAGAACCGUAACUUCGGGAGAAGGUUCGCUCUUGACAGUGAAGUCCCUUGCGGAUGGAGCAGUUGGGAGUCGCAGUGACCAGAUGGCUGGGACUGUUUAUCAAAAACACAGCACUCUGCAAACACGAAAGUGGACGUAUAGGGUGUGACACCUGCCCGGUGCCGGAAGGUUAAUUGAUGGGGUUAGCGCAAGCGAAGCUCUUGAUCGAAGCCCCGGUAAACGGCGGCCGUAACUAUAACGGUCCUAAGGUAGCGAAAUUCCUUGUCGGGUAAGUUCCGACCUGCACGAAUGGUGUAACCAUGGCCAUGCUGUCUCCACCCGAGACUCAGUGAAAUCGAAUUCGCCGUGAAGAUGCGGUGUACCCGCGGCUAGACGGAAAGACCCCGUGAACCUUUACUACAGCUUGGCACUGAACAUUGAACCUACAUGUGUAGGAUAGGUGGGAGGCUUUGAAGGCGUGACGCCAGUUGCGCUGGAGCCGUCCUUGAAAUACCACCCUUGUAUGUUUGAUGUUCUAACGCAGGCCCGUGAAUCCGGGUCGCGGACAGUGCCUGGUGGGUAGUUUGACUGGGGCGGUCUCCUCCCAAAGAGUAACGGAGGAGCACGAAGGUUGGCUAAUCCUGGUCGGACAUCAGGAGGUUAGUGCAAUGGCAUAAGCCAGCUUAACUGCGAGACGGACAGGUCGAGCAGGUACGAAAGUAGGUCAUAGUGAUCCGGUGGUUCUGAAUGGAAGGGCCAUCGCUCAACGGAUAAAAGGUACUCCGGGGAUAACAGGCUGAUACCGCCCAAGAGUUCAUAUCGACGGCGGUGUUUGGCACCUCGAUGUCGGCUCAUCACAUCCUGGGGCUGAAGUCGGUCCCAAGGGUAUGGCUGUUCGCCAUUUAAAGUGGUACGCGAGCUGGGUUCAGAACGUCGUGAGACAGUUCGGUCCCUAUCUGCCGUGGGCGUUGGAUGAUUGAAGGGAGUUGCUCCUAGUACGAGAGGACCGGAGUGAACGAACCUCUGGUGUUCGGGUUGUCACGCCAGUGGCACUGCCCGGUAGCUAAGUUCGGAAUCGAUAACCGCUGAAAGCAUCUAAGCGGGAAGCGAGCCCUGAGAUGAGUCAUCCCUGACCCCUUGAGGGUCCUAAAGGGCCGUUGGAGACCACAACGUUGAUAGGUGGGGUGUGUAAGCGCGGCGACGUGUUGAGCUAACCCAUACUAAUUACCCGUGAGGCUUAACCAUACAACACCCAAGAAGUGUU